CACAGGAUCCACUCAUGCAGUGUUUUCAUGGCAAACAAAAGAGCAUAACCUUUGGUGACACUGUCAGAGCUACACAAAGCGUGUGACUGGAAUAUGUUCCACUUUAUGUCCAAAGCUUCUCUCAAUGGCAUCUUUACUUCAGCUAUUAUUUCUUGGUGCUAAUGUGACUGCUAAAAAUGUACAACUGCAUUCCAAGCUUUGGCCUGAGUUUGAAAAAAGGGCGAACCCAAAGCAAAAUACAGUAUGCCAGUUUUGUGUGCUAGUGUAUGCGGUUUGGAGAGGAAGAGGAGUUGUUAUUACAAUUAUUUUUUUAUUUUAUUUUAAGUACAAAUAUCUAGCUAAGAUCCUCCAGGAAAUGAACAUGAAUGAAAACAAUUGAAAUCACUGGAGAAACCAUCGCUUACAAUUUGGGAAGAAAAAGAAAAAAAAAAAAAAAAGACAAACCAAAAAUAUUCAUUUGGCAUACACGUGCAGUUUUAGGGCAUUCCUUCUUGACUGGUCCUAGCAAGAUCAUUUAGCUUAGCCAAAUGUCUGAAGGAAGUAACCAGCCAGAUGGGCUAACAUGGCUAAAGCAUGUUGAAUUACAGUGCCAGAAGUACACAAGGCAAGGAUGUGGCUUGCUCCCGAGCCAAUUAUCAUUAAUCCCUCAUAACAAAUGUCUAUCCAUUAUCAAGCCUGGUGCAGAGAAGAGAAAUCAUGCCUUUCAGCACAAUUCCUGAACGGGGCUGGAAGCUUUCAGAUAAACAAUUACUUUUUCUACAACCCUUUUCUUGUUUACCUGCAAUCUUACCCUGUUUUUGCAAGACAAUAACAGGAUGUGUUGGUGUCAAUCCAGUUGUAUUUGUGUGCAACAGAUGUUCUGAAGCAUCUGCUUCCCAACACAGAAGGAACUUCCAAAGCUCCCAAGAAUGAUAAUUGCUUGUAAGAAGUGUCUUUUUAAUACAAGUUUUAUUUUACCCAAUCCUUUCAGUGGCAGCUUUCUGGCACUAAGCUUUAUUCUCAUUCAAUGAGCAGAGUGUAAAAAAAAAAAAAGUUGAGGCCAAGUCUUACAAAGAAAAGGUCAAGUGCACAAAGGUGUGAAAGCUCCUGGAGGAGCCAAGGUAUUACUGGCCACAGCAGCUCAGUGAGCCAAACUGAAAGCCAGCACGCAGACUUGACGUCAUCCAUUGACUCUUGGUAUUUUGAAGGGACAGGAUGAGCUAAAGAAAUUAGUCUUGGUUAUUUACCAGUCUGUAAUUUAUUAGGCUGUAUCAUAGGCAGAGCUCCUCCUUUCAGAAUGAGAGCUGGAAAGUUGAUGUUUCUCAUUUUGGAUGCUUAGACUGGGUGUAGAUACAGUUAUGCAGUAUUUCAUUAAAAAAAAAUAAAAAAAUUCCCGGGGAAGUGAAAGGCAGAAUAUGCACCCUUAAGACUGCAGUUUUGAGCCUUCAAGCGGAUGUUCAUUUAGGUAAUUGGGGAUUGGUUACUGGGGAUAAGAAAAACUUGCUGGGCUGGAAAGAACUUCCAAAUUCUGGAAAAUUAAAGUGUUUUUUUAUGUUUGUUUUGCUAUGCCUUAUUUUGUCUGCUUGUUUUGUUUUGUUUUAAUUUUAAUUCCUAAUGGUAUGAUACUUUGAGCUUAAUGAUAUUUAAUGAAAGAAACUAGUUCAAAAAAUUCACAAAUAACCCACAAUGAUUUGCUUUGCCAAGGACUAUCUUUCCUGUCCUCUUACCAUCACAAAUUCAUUUACAAACUGUGAGUGAGUAGAAAAAAACAUUUCCAAGAACUGCUCUGACCUUUGUUCUCCAGAUUCCUGGUAAAAACCUGUCUAAAUCCUCCAGACCAAUGCAGGCUCCAUCCCCCAGUGAUGCUUACAUAACAUGAGGUGGAGUUCUGGCCCAAAACUUCAGCUUUUUUGCUAUGGUCCCAGGGAAAUCGAUUCAGAUCUUGAAGUCCAGCUGAACUCCACCCAAAUGGCCUGUCGGUUUUGCUGUCACUUGCUUCUUUUACUGUCAUGGGAAGCAUUCAGAGGAUGAAAAAAAAAAUGGAGAAAAGAAAAACAAAUGGGGAAGAAAGACUCCAUUUUUGCUUGAGAUCAGAAGAAGAAAUAAAGAAGGAUUUGAAUACAAAAAUGCUGAAAUAUUCCCUUUUAAAGGAAGAGUAUUUUCAUUUUUGAAGAUGUUUGUAAGGAAGAAAAGCACAUUAAUUCUGUAUCCAAGACACCCAUGCAGGGGAGGGUGAACAUAGCACAGGGCCUGGCAGACACCUACCUGGAACAGAAACAUCAGAUGGGACCCUCCUGAACAUCUCAAAUGAAGAUUCUACAUAUCGAUACAGACGCUUAA